GCAUAACGCGAAGAACCUUACCCAGGUUUGACAUGCUUUCGACCGGCGUUGAAAGACGCCUUUCCUUCGGGACGGAAGCACAGAUGCUGCAUGGCUGUCGUCAGCUCGUGCCGUGAGGUGUUCGGUUAAGUCCGGCAACGAGCGCAACCCGUACUGCCAGUUACCAUCAAGUAAUGUUGGGGACUCUGGCGGGACUGCCCGUGUCAAGCGGGAGGAAGGCGCGGAUGACGUCAAGUCCGUAUGGCUCUUACACCUGGGGCCGCAAACGUGCUACAAUGGCGGGUACAAUGGGCUGCUGCAUCGCGAGAUGUGGCGAACCUCCAAAACCCGCCCCAGUUCGGAUUGCAGCCUGCAACUCGACUGCAUGAAGUCGGAAUCGCUAGUAAAGGGACAUCAGCUACGGUCCCUUGAAUACGUUCCCGGGUCUUGUACACACCG
rnacentral:rRNA from 1 species